GAGUGACUGAUGGGGUAAUGGGAGCCUCUGGGGGGUCAGCCAGGUGUGUGUUACUGCAGCAGCAAGGUCACUGCUCCCAGGGCAGCCAGGUGUGUGUUACUGCAGCAGCAGGGUCACUGCUCCCAGGGCAGCCAGGUGUGUGUUACUGCAGCAGCAGGGUCACUGCUCCCAGGGCAGCCAGGUGUGUGUUACUGCAGCAGCAGGGUCACUGCUCCCAGGGCAGCCAGGUGUGUGUUACUGCAGCAGCAGGGUCACUGCUCCCAGGGCAGCCAGGUGUGUGUUACUGCAGCAGCAAGGUCACUGCUCCCAGGGCAGCCAGGUGUGUGUUACUGCAGCAGCAGGGUCACUGCUCCCAGGGCAGCCAGGUGUGUGUUACUGCAGCAGCAGGGUCACUGCUCCCAGGGCAGCCAGGUGUGUGUUACUGCAGCAGCAGGGUCACUGCUCCCAGGGCAGCCAGGUGUGUGUUACUGCAGCAGCAGGGUCACUGCUCCCAGGGCAGCCAGGUGUGUGUUACUGCAGCAGCAGGGUCACUGCUCCCAGGGCAGCCAGGUGUGUGUUACUGCAGCAGCAGGGUCACUGCUCCCAGGGCAGCCAGGUGUGUGUUACUGCAGCAGCAAGGUCACUGCUCCCAGGGCAGCCAGGUGGGGUACUCAGGAGGCUGUAACAGAAAGGGUGCUGCCUUCGAAUUGGGAUGAACACACAGCAGUUUAUUUCAUAAAACUCCCUACAGGCAGUCAGGAUCUGCUGCAGUGGUGUAAUGUUCUUUUGCCUCCUUCACCACUGUGUUACUGUUAACCACACAUCCAGAAGACAGAGGGAAUUUGACAGCAAUUUCUUUUAGUUGAAUGCUUCACAGUCACUGGUGGAUAUCAAAGCAAUAAGGGACUCUGCUAAUAACCUGACUGCUUAGAAUGGAAAUUCCUUCCUGCAAGGACAUGCUAGGUCAGAUUAUAAAGGAUCUUAUAAGGCACGACAACUUUAUAAAUAAUUUAUAAGACUUAAUUCCAGCACUUUGCAGGGAGGCACCUUUGAAAUGAGCGCUGCCUGUUAACCUGAAGGAUCAUGUCUCAUGCAGCAGACUUCUGUCUCUUGGCCUGCUGAAGAUGGCUUUAAGUGGAAUCACCAGUUUGACACAAAGCCGUGUGUCUUCAGUGCUUAUUGUAUUUUAGCCUUGGUGUGAACUGUGACAGACUAGAUUUAACUUGAGCUGAAGGAAAUAUGAGUAUAUAUUAGUGAAGUAGCAAAGCCAAGUGUGCACUCUUAGCAUUGUAGUCCUGCUCUGUGCAGCUUUCCUAGGAGAAUUUUGGAGUAAAACUUAGAGAACCAUUUCCAUAGUUAUAAAAAGUAUUGAAAGCCAUAAGGGUUUUUUUAAAUAGUAAUUAUUUUUCUUGACUCAUGAUAUGCUCUGUUCUGUUUG